CUCCUAGCCACACACAUUAGUACCUAUGAACAGAGUGCUCAGAGCGGGGAGGAGAAGGACGUGAAGGAGCCCGUACACUAUCACCAGGAAGAGCUCAGCCACAGAAGGGGCACCCUCCAGGGAGGGAGCACGAGCUCCAUCGCCUCUUCAGCCAAGGCCAGGGACGAAGGCCUCCGAUCCCUCCAGACUGCAUUUUCAGAGGACCGCUGAGACACCUGCAGCAAUCAUCUCUUUCCUUUCUUCCUCUGUCCCCUCCACAAAGGCAUGCAGGAGGGACAGGUGGCAGGUGCUCUUCUCGGUGGCCUCACACACAAGGAGAGAGAAAGCUUCGGGGCACUUCAUUCUUGUGUUCCCUGAGACUCAAAUAUGAAGCAUCGUCAUCACCGUCAAUCAACCAACCGACUUUGAAACGGAAGCGGUCAAUGAAUAGCUGGCAACCUGUAGAUCACGCGCUUGGAGGACAAAAGACCUGUUUCUCACACAGAUUGUUGACCUGGCUCCUCUGCUUGGAAGAGAUUUUUGUCCUGAAGGAAAACAUUUGCCACUGUUAACAAGAUACAUCUUGCAACCAGACUGAGCAACAGGUUUUCUCGUACGAAGUACCAUUGGAUUCAGUUACUCCAUAUUGAAAAGGUUACUGCCUCACGGAGGGAACACGUGCCUUGGCGAAGUGUGGCACAGCUGCCCAGCCAACAGAGGUCUAUAGGCCACCUUCCCAGUGUUCAUGGUGCUGUCUUGAGGAUGUAUCCGCAAAACAGUCCGUCUUCAGGGAGCCUAUCGUCUGGAGACUCAAGACACUGAACACAGGCACCAGACGUCAGCUGGUGAGCCCCGAGGCCAGGGCUGUGCUGAGUUCUGAGUGCUGGGCUGGGCGUGCCCUUUCACACACUUUCCAAAAUAGUGUCUAUAUUGUUUGCAUGUUAAAGGCGAGGCCAUCCAGAGGGCUCAGAGGUUAAGAGGACUCGCAGCUCUUCCAGAGGACCCAGGUUCAGAUCCUAGCACCCACGUGAGGAGGCUUCCGGCCUGCAAACUCUAUAGGUGGAUCUGGUACCCUCUUCUGCCUUCCACAAGCACCGUGCUCAUGUGCAAAAGCUCACACUCGUACAAGUAAUUAAAAAUGAAAGAAAAAAUAUUCAAAUUAAAGAAGGAAAAUAAGUGUGUGUAUGGGGAGUAAGUGAUGAGAGCCCAGAAAAAUGGAUGUGGUCCAGACCUGAAGCACCAGAGGAGGCUAGAAAAGGAGCCAGAUGGCAGGGGGGAGUGCUGCAAAAGAGGGGGGAGGGUAUGUGAGAGCUCCAAGACCCUCUCCUUACAAAGACCUGGUCUCUGCAUUUCCAUGGCAGUUUCCGACAUCCUCUGGAAGAGAAAACUGCAGGAGAAAGAGGGUUCCCUCACUUAGGGGAGGAAGGACACAAGGGGCUCAAGUCACAGACUUUAGUGCCAGGCAGGAUAUUGUUUUGUACAGUUGUCCUCAGUGACCACAAAGAUACAACCGCUGGGAUCCCGCUUUCAUACAAAUUUCCAGGGUCAGAACCAAACCUGGAAAAAAAGAAGUGAUUCUAGCAGAGAGGUCCUGGAUGGAUGAGGAUGCCAAAGAUGGUGAAGAUGUAGAGUGGCCCCGGAAGGCAGGCGGCAGCUCUCAGAACCUCCCACAGCCUGGACGCUUCUAGCAGCGUUAGUGGCUGUUGCUUACAUGGUUUGCACUGAAGGAGUCUCACAAGCAAUGGUCAUGAAGCUGUGUGGGGACAGUGAAAUCGCCUCAACCUGUCAAGGAAUUUCCACAGGGUUUGUAAAUGCAUCUGGUCAACAAUAUUUUCUCAUGGGAACAGCAUUCCACGCCACACCUCGGGGAGCCUGUACCCUCUGUGUGCAGAUAUGAAAGUCAUGUGAUCCUCCCUUCUAGCUCUGAUCAUUGACUUCCUAUAGCUGGACACAAAAGUCUUCACUCGACAAGUAGUUUAGAGCGCACUCUGUUUGGUAUAGAACCUUCUGGAAAAGUCUUUCCCAGCGGUAGGGCUGCUUCAGAAGAGCCGGCCAACAAGCAGGUCUAAGCUACUUCAGUAAUAAACUUCCUUAGGCUCUGCCGCUCAAUUACACUGAACAAACACGCAAGAUAAGACAAGCUCACUGUGUUCAGUUACUCCCCGUGGAACUCCACUGUCCCCUUCCUCUGUUCAAACUGCACAGACAAUGGCCUUCCUUUGCGUGCAACUUUGACUCUUGGCCCUGUACAGACCUAGGCCUUAGCUCAGUGAGAGACCUCAUUCGGGACUAGGGGUGGAUGUAGACAAUUCUCUUGCUUUAAGAAGGUGGACUGGCUGGUUCUGUGUGUCAGCCUGACACAAGCUAGAGUCAUUACAGAGGAAGGAGCCUCAGUUGGAGAAAUGCCUCCACGAGAUCCAGCUGUAAUAUUUUCUUAUUUAGUGUUCAGUGGGGAGGGUCUAGCCCAUAG